AUGUUUAUGCUCCAUUCAUGUGAAGAUCCAGAGAACUCUAAACAUUGUGAAAUCACCAGUGCAAUAUUGGGUAGGGCCUCAGGCCAGAGGGAGCUUAUUACGUACAAGAUUGAUAAGCCCACAUUUCCUAAAUGCCCUGGGCCCUCACCUUCCCUGAGAAGCUCAUCAGAAAGACUGGAGAGCUUUGGCUGGCUAAACAGACAGACAUGCACUUGCUCCCGCCCCUCCCCAGACUGGACAGAAUCAUGCCACUGGUUUGGAGGCAGGAAAGAGGGGGUUCCUAUUGGGUCUGGGCACCCCAGUGAACUGACACCUUUUAGUUCUAACCAUGCUGGGGGGCUCCUGGAGCCCCGAUGCGCCAGAAGGCAGUCUCCUGCCCUCACCCAGGCCUGGCAAUAUGGAUGCCCGUCCAGCAGCUGGUUGAAUGAGGCAGCCAGCAGCUCUCUCCUCUGCCCACCACCCAGCCCCUCCAGCCCAGUUGGCUUCUCCUUUCCAUCGCUCAGCCAGUCAAGCCAUGCAACCAUUUUUCACCUCUCUUGCCUCCUCUGCCCACAACCGCCAGGCCCCAAUCAAAGAGAAUUGAGAAACCGUCUUCUUGCACAAGAGCAGCUACUGUCUAAAUGCUUUUUGAUCGUCUGCGUGGAGGGGGAACUGGGCACAGCCCUGGUCCCAGUGAUGGAGCCAAGCUCCAGCUGUCCUGGCUGGCCAAACCUGCCCUCGCCCCCCUUCAUUGCCCCCGUAGCCUUGGCGGUUCAGAAUUUUCAGAACGUACCGUCUCCAUCCUUCUCUCUUCUCGGUGAUGUCAAGCCUGGUACCACCAAGAAGGAAGGGGGAAAGCAGGAGCCUUAUCUCUCCUACGCAAGCAACCUCUUCCUCCGGCUCCCACAAGCCCAGCGUUAUGUAAACGCACCUUCAGCCCCCACCACAGCCCCAGCGCGGCCUGGGGGCCCCAGGGCCUGGCACAGCUCGGUGCCGGGGGAUAGGGAGGCAAGAAGAGGCCGAGGAUCCUAG
rnacentral:lncRNA from 1 species